rnacentral:rRNA from 1 species
GACGAACGCUGGCGGCGUGCCUAAUACAUGCCAGUAGAACGCUGAAGGAGGAGCUUGCUUCUCUGGAUGAGUUGCGAACGGGUGAGUAACGCGUAGGUAACCUGCCUGGUAGCGGGGGAUAACUAUUGGAAACGAUAGCUAAUACCGCAUAAUAGUAGAUGUUGCAUGACAUUUGCUUAAAAGGUGCAAUUGCAUCACUACCAGAUGGACCUGCGUUGUAUUAGGUAGUUGGUGAGGUAACGGCUCACCAAGGCGACGAUACAUAGCCGGCCUGGGAGGGUGAUCGGGCACAAUGGGACUUGGACACGGCCCAGACUCCCACGGGAGGCAGCAGUAGGGAAACUUCGGCAAUGGACGGAAGGCUGACCGAGCAACGCCGCGUGAGUGAAGAAGGGUUUCGGAUCGUAAAGCUCUGUUGUAAGAGAAGAACGAGUGUGAGAGUGGAAAGUUCACACUGUGACGGUAUCUUACCAGAAAGGGACGGCUAACUACGUG